AGAGUUUGAUCCUGGCUCAGAACGAACGCUGGCGGCAGGCUUAACACAUGCAAGUCGAACGCGUGUAGCAAUACACGAGUGGCGCACGGGUGAGUAACGCGUGGAUAUCUGCCUUUUGGUUCGGAAUAACCCCGGGAAACUGGGGCUAAUACCGGAUGGUUCCUACGGGAUAAAGAUUUAUCGCCAAAAGAUGAGUCCGCGUACGAUUAGCUAGUUGGUGAGGUAAUGGCUCACCAAGGCGACGAUCGUUAGCUGGUCUGAGAGGACGAUCAGCCACACUGGGACUGAGACACGGCCCAGACUCCUACGGGAGGCAGCAGUGGGGAAUAUUGGACAAUGGGGGCAACCCUGAUCCAGCCAUGCCGCGUGAGUGAUGAAGGCCUUCGGGUUGUAAAGCUCUUUUGGCGGGGACGAUGAUGACGGUACCCGCAGAAUAAGCCCCGGCUAACUUCGUGCCAGCAGCCGCGGUAAGACGAAGGGGGCUAGCGUUGUUCGGAAUUACUGGGCGUAAAGCGAGUGUAGGUGGUUGUCGUAGUCAGGUGUGAAAGCCUUGAGCUCAACUCAAGAAAUGCACUUGAUACUGGAUGACUAGAGGACCGGAGAGGAUAGUGGAAUUCCCAGUGUAGUGGUGAAAUACGUAGAGAUUGGGAAGAACACCAGUGGCGAAGGCGGCUAUCUGGACGGUUUCUGACACUAAGACUCGAAAGCGUGGGGAGCAAACAGGAUUAGAUACCCUAGUAGUCC
rnacentral:rRNA from 1 species